GAUAAACGCUGGCGGCGUGCCUAAUACAUGCAAGUCGAGCGGUAACACUUCGGGUGACGAGCGGCGGACGGCAGAGUAACGCGUAGGAACGUACCCCAAACUGAGGGAUAGCCCACCGAAAGGUGGAUUAAUACCGCAUAUUAUUUACGAAUCAAAGCCUUCGGGCGGUUUGGGAGCGGCCUGCGUAUGAUUAGCUUGUUGGUGAGGUAAUGGCUCACCAAGGCGACGAUCAUUAGCNGGUCUGAGAGGAUGAUCAGCCUGACUGGAACUGAGAACGGUCCAGACUCCUACGGGAGGCAGCAGUAGGGAAUUUUCCGCAAUGGGCGAAAGCCUGACGGAGCAACGCCGCGUGCAGGAGGAAGGCCUUCGGUCGUAAACUG
rnacentral:rRNA from 1 species